UUUUUUUUUUUUUUAAAAAAAAUAAGAAAUUUCUUUGUUGUUUUUUCUUCUUUUGAUGAAAGAAGAAAAAACUUUUUUUUACCGUGAGCAAAAUAUGGUGUUCAUGGCAGGCAUUUUUUUGUUGCUUAUAUAUUUUAGCAUGGAAUAAUAGAAUAAGACGUUUGGUUUUAUUUUUUGUUGGAAAAAGACGCAUAUGAUAUAUGCGUCUUUUUUAGAGCCAAAGUAAUGAUUAAUAGGAAUAGUUGGGGGCAUUCGUAUUCCGUAGCUAGAGGUGAAAUUCUUGGAUUUACGGAAGACGAACGACUGCGAAAGCAUUUGCCAAGGAUGUUUUCAUUGAUCAAGA
rnacentral:rRNA from 1 species